rnacentral:rRNA from 1 species
GGCGUAGGGCGCGAGCGUUGUCCGGAUUUAUUGGGCGUAAAGAGCUCGUAGGCGGCUUGUUGCGUCGGCUGUGAAAACCCGCGGCUUAACUGUGGGCUUGCAGCUGAUACGGGCAGGCUAGAGUUCGGUAGGGGAGACUGGAAUUCCUGGUGUAGCGGUGAAAUGCGCAGAUAUCAGGAGGAACACCGGUGGCGAAGGCGGGUCUCUAGUACGGUACUGACGCUGAGACGCGAAAGCGUGGGGAGCGAACAGG